CUGGUCGCCGGGGGAUGUUCGUCCCCGGGCCCGCGCCCGCCGAAGCGCUCUGUGAACCCUGAUGAAGAUGGGCUGUCUGAGUACUAUGAAAAUUGUCAAAACUUUCAACAAUGGAUCUCUUGGUUCCGGCAUCGAUGAAGAACGCAGCGAAAUGCGAUAAGUAAUGUGAAUUGCAGAAUUCCGUGAAUCAUCGAAUCUUUGAACGCACAUUGCGCCCCCUGGCAUUCCGGGGGGCAUGCCUGUCCGAGCGUCAUUUCUGCCCUCAAGCACGGCUUGUGUGUUGGGUGUGGUCCCCUCGGGGACCUGCCCGAAAGGCAGCGGCGACGUCCGUCUGGUCCUCGAGCGUAUGGGGCUUUGUCACUCGCUCGGGAAGGACCUGCGGGGGUUGGUCACCACCAUAUUUUACCACGGUUGACCUCGGAUCAGGUAGGAGUUACCCGCUGAACUUAAGCAUAUCAAUAAGCGGAGGA
rnacentral:rRNA from 1 species